rnacentral:rRNA from 1 species
AGUAACACGUGAGUGACCUGCCUUUUAGACUGGAACAGCUUACCGAAAGGUGAGCUAAUGCCGGAUGAGUUAUAUAAGUGCAUGUUUAUAUAGGAAAAGUUGGGGAGACCUGACGCUGAAAGAUGGACUCGCGUCCCAUUAGCUAGUUGGUAGGGUAAUGGCCUACCAAGGCGACGAUGGGUAGCCGGCCUGAGAGGGUGGCCGGCCACACUGGGACUGAGACACGGCCCAGACUCCUACGGGAGGCAGCAG